rnacentral:rRNA from 1 species
UACGUAGGGUGCAAGCGUUAAUCGGAAUUACUGGGCGUAAAGCGUGCGCAGGCGGUUUUGUAAGUCUGUCGUGAAAUCCCCGGGCUCAACCUGGGAAUUGCGAUGGAGACUGCAAGGCUAGAAUCUGGCAGAGGGGGGUAGAAUUCCACGUGUGAGCAGUGAAAUGCGUAGAGAUGUGGAGGAACACCGAUGGCGAAGGCAGCACCCUAGGUCAAGAUUGACGCUCAUGCACGAAAGCGUGGGGAGCAAACAGG